AACGAACGCUGGCGGCAUGCCUAACACAUGCAGGUCGAACGAGACCUUCGGGUCUAGUGGCGCACGGGUGCGUAACGCGUGGGAACCUGCCCUUAGGUUCGGAAUAACUCCCCGAAAGGGGUGCUAAUACCGGAUAAUGUCUUCGGACCAAAGAUUUAUCGCCUUUGGAUGGGCCCGCGUUGGAUUAGCUAGUUGGUAGGGUAAAAGCCUACCAAGGCGACGAUCCAUAGCUGGUCUGAGAGGAUGAUCAGCCACACUGGGACUGAGACACGGCCCAGACUCCUACGGGAGGCAGCAGUGGGGAAUAUUGGACAAUGGGCGAAAGCCUGAUCCAGCAAUGCCGCGUGAGUGAUGAAGGCCUUAGGGUUGUAAAGCUCUUUUAACCGGGAUGAUAAUGACAGUACCGGGAGAAUAAGCGCCGGCUAACUCCGUG
rnacentral:rRNA from 1 species